UACGGAGGGUGCGAGCGUUGUCCGGAAUUAUUGGGCGUAAAGAGCUCGUAGGCGGCCUGUCGCGUCGGUUGUGAAAGCCCGGGGCUCAACCCCGGGUCUGCAGUCGAUACGGGCAGGCUAGAGUUCGGUAGGGGAGAUCGGAAUUCCUGGUGUAGCGGUGAAAUGCGCAGAUAUCAGGAGGAACACCGGUGGCGAAGGCGGAUCUCUGGGCCGAUACUGACGCUGAGGAGCGAAAGCGUGGGGAGCGAACAGG
rnacentral:rRNA from 1 species